GACGAACGCUGGCGGCGUGCUUAACACAUGCAAGUCGAGCGGUAAGGCCCUUUCGGGGGUACACGAGCGGCGAACGGGUGAGUAACACGUGGGUGACCUGCCCUCAGCUCUGGGAUAAGCCUGGGAAACCGGGUCUAAUACUGGAUAUGACUCCAUGACGCAUGUUGUGGGGUGGAAAGCCUUGUGCGGCUGAGGAUGGGCCCGCGGUCUAUCAGCUUGUUGGUGGGGUGAGGCCUACCAAGGCGACGACGGGUAGCCGGCCUGAGAGGGCGACCGGCCACACUGGGACUGAGACACGGCCCAGACUCCUACGGGAGGCAGCAGUGGGGAAUCUUGCGCAAUAGGCGAAAGCCUGACGCAGCGACGCCGCGUGAGGGAUGACGGCCCUCGGGUUGUAACCUCUUCAGCUCCGACGAAGCGAGAGUGACGGUAGGAGC
rnacentral:rRNA from 1 species